UGAUCUGUAGGUCUCGGCCUCCCUGCAGUCAGGUGAGACCUGAUGACAGUUAUGGUGGAGGAAGUAUGAGAGGACAGGACAGAGGGUGUGCUGUGUUCAGGCUAAGGCUUGUAGGAAGUGGGUAUGCACGCUCCCCUUUUUCCAACAGGGUGAAGAUUAUGACAAGGCCUUUCAAGAUACUGGAACCACAAGGUAGAAGAAGCCUCUGUUGCCAAGGAGAAAAUUUGCCCACAGACUAGGAGCUCCUGCAGUGGAUGGUUAGAAAUACACUUCCUUUGAGCUCUGGUGAAAACGAUGAACAUGGUGGAUGUGAAUUCGUGUACAAAGUUUAGAAAUGAAAUACAUAUGGAAUGAAAUACGACAAACCCUCUUGGUGUUUAAUUCCGCUAAAUGAUGCUAGCUAAAGCCAGGGGUUUAGAUGUGGUCGAUGCCGCUGAAAUAUUCCAUGGGCCGUUCUGACAUCUCAAGGAUUUCCACACUAAUCAUCCAUGAACGAGCCAUUUGAUAAUUUUUAUUGCCUGUGAAUCUGAUGUCUUUUUCAGGCACUAGGAUAAGCACUGAAGUGCAUUAUCACAUUUUACCCUCCUCCAAACUCCAAAGAAUCAGUCAUUACCCCCAAUUCACAGAUGACAAAUCGGAAGCUUCAAGCUCAAUAACCGGAAUAUCUGGCAAUUUGAAUAAAGGUAAAUUGUGUUGUCAAAACUUAUACUCGUUAUAAAAAUAAUUUAAAAAAUUUUAAAUUGAGGUUACCUUCAAUUUUUAUAAAUACAUAUAAAAGUCAGAAAAUAUAGGCAUGAAUAAAGUAAAAAAACUCCUAGAGGUAACCACUGUUAAAAAUUUAGUGCUUUUCUUUAUGCAUAUAAAUACAUAUGAACAUAUUUCUACUAAAAUGGAUCAUGUGAUACUGACUUAUGCUUUUGUCUUAUUUCCACUUCAGAAUUAUUUUGAUUCCCUUUUAUCGAAAGUUCAUAUAAAUCACAUUGUUCUUUCUCUUGGCAACCUAAGAAAAUAUUACAUUGAUGCGUCAUGAUUUAACUAGUACCUAGUUCAUUGACAUUUAGGUCUUUCAUGUUUUCCCUUCUA